GGAACAUCUGAAUGGAUGUGAGUUGCCAAGGGUCAUGAGUUGCCAAGAGGCACGUGUGUCAAAAGGGUACUAGUUCCCAAAGGGUGUGAGUUCCAAACGGUGACAUUGGUUUAAGGCUUAGGCCGAACCAAGUGGACAGUCCGCGGCUGCAUAGUCGAACGGACGGACGGUUUGUUUAACCGUUGUGUUGUGUCGCAAGGUCUGAUUGGUUGCAAGGAAAUCCGGUUUGGUCUUGGGCCUUACUCUGUUGUAUGGAUCCAGGCUUUGGGUCGGAUCAGGUAAGAAGGUCCGUGAGCCUUUGGUCUGGACUUAUAACUGGCCGAUCGCACCUAGCUCUUAACCAUACGGUUAGACGGGACUAUGGAUGAUCCGAUUAUGGUUGGAUGGUUCUAGCCGCAAAGGCUAAGUAGGAUAUCUUACAAUCAACUUCGAGUUGGUGAGUAGGAUAGGCGCCAUAUGCCUUAUUUAGGGCGUAGACCCACAUGAUGGCAAUGGAAGGCCGGUUAUAUCAGUACAUGCUAAGUGGACGAUGGCUUAUCUAGUCUAGUGGUCGGAUCAUGUUUCAUGACGAUGGUUCGAUGGCCGAACACUAGUAUGAAUAGUCAUGUUGCUGGAGUAAGAGUAUUGAUGUGAUGCUUCUAGAUAUCAACCUUGGUGUUGAUAGCUUCGAGAUUAGAGUCAUGACGAAGUGUGUGCCUAGUGCUAUGUGUCGUAGACCAUAGAUACUGAGCCUAAGUGUGAUUGUUCAAGGAAGGCCGUGUAAGAUCUUAUCAUGGUUGAGUAUGGACGACAUGACCUCUGAAUGAUGGUUCAAGGUGUCGGUCCUAACCUGAUUAACAAAUGCAACGGUUAGUUUGAACAAAUCAUAUAUGUUGUCUGGGUUAAGUCCCAAGGCCGAUCAGGCCAAAUGAUGACUCAUCAGUUCCAAGUCAUGUGAGGAUGGUUGGUUGAUUGACUUAGGAUCUAAUGAGUUUUGUCAGUCCAGAAGAUGGACUUGGUACUAUUGCCUAUAAGGCAAAAGGAUUUUGGAUUGUGCAUGAGCCGAGAAAGGCCAGAUGCAAACCCUUAUCCUUUCAAAGACUUCUCAAAGGUUACUUAUGUCUGUGGGGAUGGUUGGUUGAAUGACUAAGUACCUAGGGGAGCUGUUUGAUGCAGGAAUCAAGAUAAGGACCUUAAGUAAGAUCAUUGAGUGAUCGUGGUCCAGCUGUCAAGCAAGAGCAAUUCAAGUCAAUGGAGGACCGAUGAGCUAAUAAGCUCCGUAGAUGUGGCAAAGGUAUGAUCUAGCAUUUACUUAUGUACAUCUAGAUAGAAUGGUUUAGGGGAAUGGAACCUCAGAAUUGUAUGGCUUGGUUUGGGUUUAGGAUUGACCUUUAAGCCAAUUAGUAGUUGAGUAAACUGACCAAGGCUAAGGUGAUUCGACCAGACAAGUGUUAGAUUGGUUUUAGACCAAUGGUUAACUAGAGAAUAAUCCGCUGCGUAUCUGUUGAAAGGAUCUAGACUAUUAAUGACUAGGGAAGUCUUUAGCUAAGAUCUAAGUUAGCCCUCGCCUUUAGGCGAUAUUAUUAAUAAAGGGCAAAAAUUAAGAGGUUCGGCCAGGAAGUGGACCGAGCGACGUGAGGCAUCGACCGCGGCCUAGGCGGCUGGGAUCGGGUCUAACAGGCUCUUUCGGGAGCUUUCCCCGGGCGUCGAACAGUCAACUCAGAACUGGUACGGACAAGGGGAAUCCGACUGUUUAAUUAAAACAAAGCAUUACAAUGUGAUUUCUGCCCAGUGCUCUGAAUGUCAAAGUGAAGAAAUUCAACCAAGCGCGGGUAAACGGCGGGAGUAACUAUGACUCUCUUAAGGUAGCCAAAUACCUCGUCAUCUAAUUAGUGACGCGCAUGAAUAUAAUAACGAGAUUCCCACUGUCCCUGUCUACUAUUCAGCGAAACCACAGCCCAGGGAACAGGCUUGGCAGAAUCAGCGGGGAAAGAAGACCCUGUUGAGCUUGACUCUAGUCCGACUUUGUGAAAUGACUUGAGAGGUGUAGAAUAAGUGGGAGCUCCGGCGCAAGUGAAAUACCGCUACUUUUAACGUUAUUUUACUUACUCCGUGAAUCGGAGGCCGGGUAACAACCCCUUCUUUUAGACCCAAGAUUUGCUUCGGCGGGUCGAUCCGGGUGGAGGACAUUGUCAGGUGGGGAGUUUGGCUGGGGCGGCACAUUUGUUAAAAGAUAACGCAGGUUUCAUAAGAUGAGCACAACGAGAACAGAAAUCUCGUGUGGAACAAAAGGGUAAAAGCUCGUUUGAUUCUGAUUUUCAAUACAAAUACGAACCGUGAAAGCGUGGCCUAUCGAUCCUUUAGACCUUCGGAAUUUGAAGCUAGAGGUGUCAGAAAAGUUACCUCAGGGAUAACUGGCUUGUGCCAGCCAAGCGUUCAUAGCGACGUUGCUUUUUGAUCCUUCGAUAUCGGCUCUUCCUAUCAUUGUGAAGCAGAAUUCACCAAGUGUUGGAUUGUUCACCCACUAAUAGGGAACGUGAGGUGGGUUUAGACCGUCGUGAGACAGGUUAGUUUUACCCUACUGAUGCCCGCGUCCCAAUAGUAAUUCAACCUAGUACGAGAGGAACCGUUGAUUCGCACAAUUGGUCAUUGCGCUUGGUUGAAAAGCCAGUGGCGCGAAGCUACCGUGCGCUGGAUUAUGACUAAACGCCUCUAAGCCAGAAUCCGGGCUAGAAGCGACGCAUGCGCCCGCCGCCCGAUUGCCGACCCUCAGUAGGAGCUUUGGCUCCCAAAGGAACAUGUCGUUGGCUAAGUCCGUUCGGCGGAAGCCCCGUUCGGACCACCUUGAAUUAUAAUUACCACCAAGCGGCGGGUAGAAUCCUUUGCAGACGACUUAAAUACGCGACGGGGUAUUGUAAGUGGCAGAGUGGCCUUACUGCCACGAUCCACUGAGAUUCAGCCCUUUGUUGCUAAGAUUCAACCCUCCCCC
rnacentral:rRNA from 1 species